ACCGAGGAGGUAAAGCAUUGAGUUUUCACCUGGGUAGCCUACUGAAGAAUCUAAUGUCUGAUUGGUGAGAAGAAGCUGCAGGUACAGAGCUGAAGGACCAGUUCGGUGAACUCUGGUGGUCUCUACAGGUGUACUCACAACUGUGCAGCCAUGGCCAGAGAAGAAGCUGAGAUAUCUCUUAUGUCCUGGAAUAUUAAUGGGCUUAAGAGAAAAUUGUAUCGUGUCACUGAUAUAGCCAACAAGAACAAAGUGGACAUUGUCUUUCUUCAGGAGACUCAUAUCGGACCACAGGACACUGGUGUAUUCGACACCUUUGGAGAAUGGCACACUUUCUACACAGUGUGUAAAAAAAAACAGUAAAGGAGUUGCUAUCCUCAUUAAAAAGGACAUUGAUUGUAAGUUUAAUGAGUCCUGUGAAGAUAACGAUGGCAGUUUCAUCACAGUAAAAUGUAAAAUACAAGGCCAGCAUUACACACUUGUGAAUGUGUACAACCGUCCAUCAGAGAGAGAUAUUAUGGGCAAACUCAUGCCAUACCUUCAGGAGAGCGCUGGAGUGUUAAUGAUUGGAGGAGACUUCAACCCUACUCUCAUGGAAUCCCUCCACCUUGUAGAUGUCUUGAGAAGAAUAAAUCCAACGGAGAGUCAAUUCACUUACUCUCAAAACAAUAGCGAGUCCAGGUUAGAUUACAUUUUCAUGCAGGAGGAGUCCAUGUGGCGAGUUAAAACCUGUGAAAUCCUUGAUACUCCUGUCGAGUACUCAGACAAUAAACCUGUUUGGCUCCAGCUUACCUGAACACCAUCCAGCUAUGCCCCCAUUCCACAGACCAAAGAGGAAGAAAAAGGGUAUUUUGAACAAGAAGGUUGAUUUGUCCUGUGGCAACAACCAAGUCCUAAUCGCUGACAUCCCAUGGGCUGCACGGCCUCUACCUAACUCGAAACCCACAGGACCUGAUGGCAUUUCAAUAAGAGUAACUGUUCCCACCUGCCUCAUUAUUUCAAUGUCAUGUACAACCAAAUGCUUGAUAGUGAAAUGGAUGAUACUCCCAAUCAGAUGUCCUUUAAUCACUCAUUUCAAAGUUUGGAUGACAGGUCCUACUGCUUCUUCAAUGCUGACUAUUUAAUCUUAAUUACAAUACUGGCUUGGUACCUUGAGAAACAUUUAAAAGAUAUGACAGCACGAACAGAAAAGGAAAAGAACAAAAUCAGAAGUAUUAUGGUGAUCCAUCCAGGAAGAAGAAAGAAGGUAAGGUGGUCUUUGCUGAAACAGGCAAUACGAGCACUAAAAGAUCCCAUUCUUGAUUCCUCCAUCUUUGAUAAGCUGCUGAGAAGAUCAGACCA